UUUUCUCUGUCUUGCAACCAGCCACACCAUCCAUUCACUCAAAAUUCCAAAAAUCUUAAAACCUCAUUUCCUCCAGCCAAAAAAUCGCGAUCACCCUUCACCCGUGGAAAUUUUAUUCGGAAAAUUUGCAACGGAACUCCGCCGCUCUCAAUUCGAGAACUCCUCACUCUAACUCGGAAUUUCAAGGCGCAUUCAGACCUCCAACAAGUUUCUCAGGUUGGUUCGAAGGAAUUUUUUUUACCCAAAACAGCUAGGGUUUUCUGAACCUGAUACUCGCUCACCGGUAGAGCAGCUUUCUUCUCUCUUCUUCUCCAACAAUGGUUGCUAAUCCACAGGGCAUCAAGGCUAAAUAUGCCAAUUGACAAACUAUGGGCUAUCUACCCCAGGCAAUGGUGAACUACUCGGCACUGUUGGGUUGGGGCGACGGCACAGAAAAUGAAUUCUUCACCCUUGAGCAACUUGUGGUGCCAUUUUCGACGCUACCAAAUUAAGGUGGAUGAAUGGUCAACACUUAAGAGCACUUCCAUCUGAGCGGUUGACAAAGCUUAUUGAUGAGCAAUGGAAAAGCACAGGCGUCCUCACGGAAGCAGAGGGCCCAUUUAUUGAAUGUUUUCGGGCGAUUGGAGCUGACUAUGGAGAAGGUUUUGAGAGUUUUGGACAUGUUGGACCUCUCAAGGAAUUUUUGGAAGACAAAAGUCAAUAAGAUUUUCUUAAACGAAUACAAUAUGUCGUGAAACUGGAUGAAGCUUAUGGUCUUAUAUUCUCUUUUGACAAUGUUGUGACCAAACCAUUGAGAUAAUAACACUGCAUGUAACAUUCUUUCGAAGCAAUCCAUAUGUCGAUAUUGGUUUGAACUAAAAGAAACUAAGAAAGGAAUGAUGCACAGUCACAGUGAUAUAGAACACUUACAUUGCAGCUUCAACUAUACAAUUUUUGCCACCCCAAUUGAUCGACAGGUAGUGAGACAAAACUAAUCAAAGAGGCAAACGCACAAAAGUUGAUGAGGUGCUAUAAAAUUGCUGAAAAAGAUGGAGAUGUAUAUGCUGCUGCAGCAUAUAGAUCAUGAAGUUGUCGACCUUAAAAUAGAAAAGAUUGAAAAAAGGCUCGAGUAUCUCAUGAAUAAGCGUGAAAGGUUAGCUAUUUCAAUGCAACACUCUUUAAAUUUAGCAAUCAGGGCGUGUGCCAUUUAUAUGGCCAUCUUCGGAUUUGUGGUAGCUUACAGUAACAAUUCGGAAAGGAUAAAAUGCAGUCUCAUUUACUUAUGUGUUGCCUUUGUAUCUUGUGGCUAUGUCUUUGCAUUGAUGCUCCACCCUUAUAUGUCAGUUACUUUAAAACCCACCAAAAGCUUUUUAUUGUUAAGUUGAAGAAAAAACGAGAUUUGCUAAAGUUGGGCAAUAGGCAAGGAAAAUUUCCAAACGACACCCCAAAAUUCUACUUAAUUGGGCAACUCUCAAAAAAUGGAGAUAAUUAGGCUUGUUGAGAGAAACUCAGCUCAAGCAGACAAACUUGGGAAGGUUUUUCUAGGUUUCCUCGUCGGAGUUUUUAUCAGCUUUAUUUUCAUGUUCACAAUUGAUCCUUGUAAAUCCGCACCUCCAAACUCAUACAUAUCCCACCGCAUCUGGAAUCUCAUCCCCAUACAAUUAGUUAGACUUGAGUAGUAUGUUUGUCCUUCUUGCAAAUAUAUGAGUUCGGAUAUGUAAUUAUUGGAACAAUUGUUCCAGAUGCAUGUGGGAUGUAUGAGUUUGGAGGUGCGGAUUUAUAGGGAUUACUUGUGAACAUGAAAAUAAAGCUGAUAAAAACUCCAAGGAUAAAGCCUAGGAAAACCUUUCCCAAAUUUGUUUGCUUGAGUUGUGUUUCUCUCAGCAAGCAUAAUUAUCUCCAUUUUUUAGAGUUGACCAAUCGGGUAGAAUUUUGGAACGUCAUUUGGAAAUUUUCCUUGCCUCUUGGCCAACUUUAGCAAAUCUCUUUUUUUUCUUCAAAUUUUUUUUCUUUAACUUAACAAUAAAAAGCUUUUGGUGGUUUUUAAAGUAACUAACAUACAAGAGAUGGAGCAUCAAUGCAAGGACAUAGUCACAAGAUACAAAGGCAACACAUAAGUAAAUGAGACUGCAUUUUAUCAUUUCCGGAUUGUUACCAUAAGCUACCACAAAUCCCAAGAUGGCCACAUAAAUGGCGCACGCCAUGACUGCUAAAUUUAAAGAGUGUUGCAUUGAAGUAGCUAACCUUUCACGCUUAUUCAUGAGAUACACGAAUUUUUUUUCAAUCUUUUCCAUCUUAAGGUCAGCAACUUCAUGAUCUAUACGAGGCUAUGACAACAGCAUAUCCAUCUAUCUACCACAAAUUCAUUUAAAGCUUAAAAAUACAAGAUAAAUCAAUCAAACUAAAUAAUAAAGGUCGUACUCUGUGCACAAGGCUUCCGCUUGACGCAAGGUCUGGGAGAGGUGAAAAUCCAACUAAAUAAUAAAAAAGGGAAAAUAAAACAUUAACAAAAGCAACAAAUACAGAAACUUUUCCAACCCCUAAAAAUGACAUCUUUAAUACUAGAGGUAAAUUUUCAAGAAAAAAGAUGAAUGACUUUGAAUAUAGCUUAACCUAGUGAUAAGGAGAUACCUUGAUUUGAGCCGGUACGCUGAUGAAAAUGAAGAGAAAGAACUUUUGUCAGUUUUGGGUUUCAAACUCUUCACUGAUGUUUGAUACAUGCCAAUUUAUAGCAGCUAUUCAUAUCAUGUUUUUGUACCACAUUUUCAUACCUGACAUUUGAUGUGGACAGUCAUAUCAUUAUUUAAUAAACUAGUUAAUUAAAUAAUGAUUGUGGUAUACGAGGAGCCUUUCUCCUUCAUUUCCUUAAGGUUUUGCAAUUUUUUCAAAUGAUAUGGUUGUCCACAUCAAAUGCUAUCUAAGAUGGUAUGAAUAUCAUUACUCUUUGAGCAAUAACAAAAGAUUAUUGAAGCUCAACAUGUCCCACAUGCAUUUGGAACAAUUAUCCCACACGCAUCCGCACCUCCAAACUCAUACAUCUCUUUAUCAUGCUUGCAUAUCCACCUUUUGAUAGGAUUAAGAGUAAGAUUUUUUUUCUCUCAUUGUAAAGUUAUGUAAUGAAUUGAUUCUAUAAAAAACAGUGCUUGAAUUCUCCUUUAAAUUUUUCAAGUUCUCCUUCGAGUAUUUUGGGUAGUCCUUCGUAUGACAUGUAUUUGUUUUUAUUGAUAAUGAGUUUAUUGUGACUUUUUUAUGACAUGACACCUCGCCGACAACAAUUGUAACUUGUAUGUAUUGAUACAUUAUGGACAACAUUACCACAGUCAA